rnacentral:ribozyme from 15 species
AUGUAUACACACAUUGUGUUGUGACAGACUGUUUCAAGAAUUAAAAAAGCCUUAAGAACCUUUGUAUAUAUGUAGUGCUUUGUUUACCGUUUCCCCUUUUUCUUCUUCUUCUUCUUCUUGUUUGAAUUCUUCUUCUUCUU